UGUCUCAUCAAGCUUUUUAUCUCUGAGGUAAUCUAUUCCCCUUGCCCUUCAGGGUAUCUGUUUCCCCCUCCCAUAUAUGGUCUAUAAAGACAUAAAAGAACCACUCCUAGUGGAUGACGGCAUACCCUCUGACGAGAGUGGUACGCACUAUCUGUAGGGGUCACCCGUGGCUAAGUAAUGUCGUGACUGUAAAUAUAUGUUAGGACCACUAUGGUUGGUACGGCCAUGGUCAUAGAUCGUACUAUGGUCUGGCCAACCAGAAAUGGGCCUGAGCAAAUUGUCAUAUAUGUAUCUGAUCUAAUCAUUCCACUUGAGUAGUUAUAAAUCUGUAUCUACCCUCAGAGAUAGAAGUUGUAACGACUUCGCGAAGCAUGAC
rnacentral:lncRNA from 1 species